GAAAUCCAAUCGGGAAAGUGCGAACUGGCACACCCGUACUUAGCCUUGGGGACUGUAAAAGAGUGAACAUUCGCGGCAACGCACAGGCUUAAGCGUAGGCAAAGGAGAAAGCGAACCGAAAUCAACAGAUGAAGCGUAACACAGACCCGGAAAUUGAUGUAUAAGUCGGAGAGGUCGAUGGUAAACUCGAGCCCGCAGACGAAAUCUACUAAGUUCAAAUCGGUUAAAGAAUUAGUAGGCUCUCCCCGGGGCACUGAGCU
rfam:Clostridiales bacterium GWD2_32_59 gwd2_scaffold_5984, whole genome shotgun sequence.